CUCAGAAGUGAAUGAGAGCCAGCUGCAGUCUGCACAACAAGGUUCACAAUGUCAAGAACAGACAUCAAAUGGAAAAGAUACAUUAAGUUCAGUUGAUCAUGUUCUUAGGAUGGUUCAAAAUGUAAAGAGAAAAGAGAAGACAG